AGGACGAACGCUGGCGGCGUGCUUAACACAUGCAAGUCGAGCGGUAAGGCCUUUCGGGGUACACGAGCGGCGAACGGGUGAGUAACACGUGGGUGAUCUGCCCUGCACUCUGGGAUAAGCCUGGGAAACUGGGUCUAAUACCGGAUAUGACCUGCUCUCGCAUGGGGGUGGGUGGAAAGAUUUAUCGGUGCAGGAUGGGCCCGCGGCCUAUCAGCUUGGUUGGUGGGGUAAUGGCCUACCAAGGCGACGACGGGUAGCCGACCUGAGAGGGUGACCGGCCACACUGGGACUGAGACACGGCCCAGACUCCUACGGGAGCAGCAGUGGGAAUAUGCACAAUGGGCGAAAGCCUGAUGCAGCGACGCCGCGUGAGGAUGAAGGCCGUUCGGGUUGUAAACCUCUUUCAGUCGAGGACGAAGCGCAAGUGACGGUACCUGACAGAAGAAGCGACCGCUAACGACGU
rnacentral:rRNA from 1 species